UACGGAGGGUGCGAGCGUUAUCCGGAAUCACUGGGUUUAAAGGGUGCGUAGGCGGCGAGGUAAGUCAGUUGUGAAAUUCUCCGGCUCAACCGGGUGGACUGCGAUUGAUACUGCUUUGCUUGAAACAGGUUGAGGUAAGCGGAAUGUGGCAUGUAGCGGUGAAAUGCAUAGAUAUGCCAUAGAACACCGAUUGCGAAGGCAGCUUGCUGGGCCUAGUUUGACGCUGAGGAACGAAAGCGUGGGGAGCAAACAGG
rnacentral:rRNA from 1 species